CUGCACAAUCCUGUCAUAGCCAGAAAUGUUUCAGCUGCAUCGUUAUUUAUUUUUAUUCUUUUCCUGCAGCAUCUUAUUUGCCCUUGGUUGUAAAAGGACUGAGCUGAUGUUAGCAUUCUUUUCAAUUGGUAUUUUUCUGAAGAAAAAGGCAUAAAUGGACACUGCAGUUUUGACUGAUCUGAUAAUAAGUAUAGGGGAAAGCACUUGGUGUGGUUGCAUUGCCCUGUUGUCCUGGGCUGCAGAUGGUCACUGAAGCUGUGCUCACCCCCCCCCCCCAGGUGCUAACACUCAGCCUCUGCUGGGCAGAUGAAGCACAGCUGGGUAAGGAGCAGGUCCUGAUGGGCAUUGUUUGUUGGCUUGGGAGCUUGCCUUGCCUCUUUAGGGACCUGACACAAACCUGGGAGCUCAGAAACGUGGUGCUCUCUGCUGUAGCCAUUCAUGUUCUUCCCAUUCAGCAGGUGUGAGUUGCCACCAGCAGCAGUUUUUCUCCUUGGAUUCCAGGCACCAUUCACAUCCCACUGUUUGGAAUAUGACCAUCACUACGUUUAGCCACCAGUCCUGGGAGGAUGUGUUGCUGCCCUGCUGACAACCCACCAGAGAUGCCCUGAGGGCUGGGAUGCACGUUGCUGUCUGCCCUGAGGCUGUAAGCUUGUGAUAACACCGCCGAGCUCACGUCGAGGAGGGGAAGCCGAGCAACCUCAAUUUUGGAGCUGAGCAGCAGCGGGGAACCCAUCUUAAAACUGCAUCACCUCACCGGCUUCAAAAGCAAAGGAGCUUCUUUUAUUGCAGUGAGCUGCACCCCAGGAAUGAUUGAAGUCCCUUGAACAAGCACCUUCCUCAUCGCAGAGCCAUCUGCUGACAGGGUGCCAAGUACAACAAGCCCAGUCCAAAGCAUCAUCACCUCCAUGGGGCUAAUUGUCGUUGCCUUGUCCCUUGAACAAGAAUUGUGGUAAGGGAAAGCAGAGCCUGGAGACACAUGCAAGUCCCUGAACAGAAAUAACCCCUGAAGGAGAACUGAAAAGCAAUUGAGGAGUCGGCCUACGGGCUGCAGACAAAGCACAGAGCAAAGGAGAUAACCAGCAGUGAGCACUGGGAAAUAAUGCCUUAAAUUCCCUCUGAGCCCGUUCAUCAUCGUGGCUUUGGUGAUCAUCUCAGCAACAAAUUCCCUUAUCAUCCGGCUGGAAUUUGAUGUUAAUGACCUGUCUGUUAUUUCAGAGGGAGAUGGACUGGAACCAGUGGGUAAUUGGUAGGAAAAAUCGCUGGGUGCAGCUAAGAGCUGAUGCUACUGGAGUCGUUACACCAUGGGAGAGGGAGAUUAGGGAGCUCUGCUUACCACAAGGGGUUUAUUCAUCCUGAAUAAAUGCAUUAGCUGACCAGAAUUGUCCUCCUAUGCCCUCAUUCCUGUCUGGUGGCAUCUCCCCACCACAACUCACCCUGCUUUUCCCAACAAACAGCAGAGAAAGCCCAGCAGAAGCUGAUAGAAUCAUAGAACACCCAGAGCUGGAAGGGACCCAUAAGGAUCAUCGAGUCCAAUUCCUGCUGUUGAGAUGAUCACGGUAAGGAAUAACCUGCUCUCUCCAAGCUCACACUGAUGUAUGCAUUUAUUUUGGAGUUCUCUCAGGAAAGACCAUAAUUAUUCUAAUUUCUUAAUUACCAAAAUUAUUCAAACCCUUCUGCCCUGCGAUGUUUUGCACAAACAACCUCCCAGAUUGCAGCAGCGUUAGGAUUUGGGUCUGUUUCUCAGCUGGAAGGAUUCUCUGCAUUCAUUACCAUUUCUCCAUGCCGUCACGUUAGCGGGGCAGCCUGCAGCCCUCACCAAAAAUAGGAUAA